rnacentral:lncRNA from 1 species
AACCCCUCAAAACACUGUUGCAACCAGCAGUUUAGCUUUCAGAAUCUGAUACUUUUCGUCGGAGCCCUUCUGAAUGUCCGUUUGAGCUCAAAUUUGACAGCCAGGCUCGGUUUAAACUAAUUAGAAAGAAAAAUCUUAACUUUUCAGUUUGGACCAUUUUUUGGCACCGAAAGCUCUACCGAACUAAAAUCUCUAGUAGAUAGCAGUAAUAUUUUAUUUUCCACUUUCCGAGUGUCGGAAUGACAUGAAACUUUAAAUCUAGCCUUUCAAGAAUAAUCCUAACAUAUUUCUAGAUUUUUAUAAUUUUCUGACACUGUGAAUUUUCUGCUAAAAUAUCAGCCCCGUUCUUUACAGAAAAUUCUAAAUCUUCUGUUUCCAUUCCGAUUUCAACACUAGUCAUUCCAAACUUAUAUUUUAUUUCUUUAAGUCCAAUAAAAAUAAUAUCUCAUACUAUUUUUAUUUACACUUACUUUUAUAUUAAAAUUCGGUACAUUAUACUAACGAGACCAGAUAUUGCUUACUCCGUUAAUAAACUUUCUCAAUUCAUGCAUCGGCCAACUCAAACUCGAUCACUGGACUGCUGUCAAAAGGCUA